AGACGACCCGGAAGCGGAAGUCGAAGAAAGUUCUAGUGGCUUGAGGUAUCAGCGGGAGCGGCCGAGUAGCAAGCGCAACCGUUACUGGAGCCGGAGCUGCCUAUUAAGCUCGAUCAAGAUGACAACCUCCCAAAAGCAUCGAGACUUCGUGGCAGAGCCUAU